UAUAUACUCCCUCCGUCUCAAAAUUCUUAUCUUAGAUUUGUCUAAAUACGACUGUAUCUUGUUACGUUUUAGUGUUAGAUACAUCUGUAUCUAGACAAAUCUAAGACAAAAAUUUUAAGACGAAGGGAGUACUUC
rfam:Triticum aestivum genome assembly, contig: Triticum_aestivum_CS42_TGACv1_scaffold_433035_5DL